rnacentral:tRNA from 1 species
GCUCGGCUGGUCUAGUGGUAUGAUUCUCGCUUAGGGUGCGAGAGGUUCCCGGUUCAAUCCCGGGGUCGAGCC